rnacentral:rRNA from 1 species
CCUACGGGUGGCACCAGUUGCGAAACCUUCACACUGUGGGAAACCACGAUGAGGAGAUUCCAAGUGCCAACACCCAGUGUUGGCUUUUCAGCUGUCUAAAACGUAGCUGGAAUAAGGGCCGGGUAAGACGGGUGCCAGCCGCCGCGGUAACACCCGCGGCUCAAGUGGUGACCAUUAUUAUUGAGCUUAAAGCGUUCGUAGCCGGUCUGGUAAAUCUCUGGGUAAAUCGAACGGCUCAACCGUUCGAAUACCAGGGAGACUGCUAGACUUGGGACCGGGAGAGGCCAGAGGUACUUUUGGGGUAGAAGUAAAAUUCUGUAAUCCUAAAAGGACCACCAGUGGCGCAAGCGUCUGGCUAGAACGGAUCCGACGGUGAGGGACGAAGCCCUGGGGCGCGAACCGGAUUAGAUACCCUAGUAGUC